AUGAAUGGUGUGUUGACAAAAGGUGGAAAGAGAUAUUUCAUGACUUUGAUUGAUGAUGCGACUAGAUUUUGCUAUGUUUAUUUGUUGCAAACUAAAGAUGAAGCGUUAGACUACUUUAAAAUCUAUAAAGCUGAAGUUGAAAAUCAACUAGAGAGAAAGAUCAAGCGUCUUAGGUCCGAUCGUGGUGGAGAGUAUUUUCCAAAAGUUUUUGAUGAAUUUUGUGAGGAACAUGGUAUUAUUCAUGAGAGGACGCCUCCCUAUUCACCUCAAUCAAAUGGAGUGGCCGAGAGGAAAAACCGCACAUUGACUGACUUGGUGAAUGCCAUGUUAGACACUGCUGGUUUAUCUAAGGCAUGGUGGGGGAGGCUCUAUUGA
rnacentral:rRNA from 1 species